rnacentral:rRNA from 1 species
UACGAAGGGGGCUAGCGUUGUUCGGAAUUACUGGGCGUAAAGCGCACGUAGGCGGAUUUGUAAGUCAGGGGUGAAAUCCCGGGGCUCAACCUCGGAACUGCCUUUGAUACUGCAAGUCUCGAGUCCGAUAGAGGUGAGUGGAACUGCGAGUGUAGAGGUGAAAUUCGUAGAUAUUCGCAAGAACACCAGUGGCGAAGGCGGCCCUCUGGACGGUGACUGACGCUGAGACGCGAAAGCGUGGGGAGCAAACAGG